GACGAACGCUGGCGGCGUGCUUAACACAUGCAAGUCGAACGGAAAGGCCCUGCUUUUGUGGGGUGCUCGAGUGGCGAACGGGUGAGUAACACGUGAGUAACCUGCCCUUGACUUUGGGAUAACUUCAGGAAACUGGGGCUAAUACCGGAUAGGAGCUCCUGCUGCAUGGUGGGGGUUGGAAAGUUUCGGCGGUUGGGGAUGGACUCGCGGCUUAUCAGCUUGUUGGUGGGGUAGUGGCUUACCAAGGCUUUGACGGGUAGCCGGCCUGAGAGGGUGACCGGCCACAUUGGGACUGGGAUACGGCCCAGACUCCUACGGGAGGCAGCAGUGGGGAAUAUUGCACAAUGGGCGGAAGCCUGACGCAGCAACGCCGCGUGCGGGAUGACGGCCUUCGGGUUGUAAACCGCUUUCGCCUGUGACGAAGCGUGAGUGGCGGUAAUGGGUAAAGAAGCACCGGCUAACUACGUG
rnacentral:rRNA from 1 species